rnacentral:rRNA from 1 species
GGAGUUAGCCGGUGCUUCUUCUGUGAGUGAUGUCCUUCCUGCCGGCUAUUAACCCGCAGGCCUUCUUCCUCACUGAAAGUGCUUUACAACCCGAAGGCCUUCUUCACACACGCGGCAUGGCUGGAUCAGGGUUGCCCCCAUUGUCCAAUAUUCCCCACUGCUGCCUCCCGUAGGAGUCUGGGCCGUGUCUCAGUCCCAGUGUGGCUGAUCAUCCUCUCAGACCAGCUACGGAUCGUCGCCUUGGUGAGCCGUUACCUCACCAACCAGCUAAUCCGACAUAGGCUCAUCCGAUAGCGCGAGGCCCGAAGGUCCCCCGCUUUCCCCCGUAGGGCGUAUGCGGUAUUAGCCUGGGUUUCCCCAGGUUAUCCCCCACUACCGGGCAGAUUCCUAUGCAUUACUCACCCGUCCGCCGCUCGCCACCAGGGAGCAAGCUCCCCGUGCUGCCGCUCGACUUGCAUGUGUUAGGCCUGCCGCCAGCGUUCAAUCUGAGCCAGAGACACACUCACGUACGAGCGGCGGUGUCGACGACGGCG